GAUGAACGCUGGCGGCGUGCCUAAUACAUGCAAGUCGAGCGAACAGACGAGGAGCUUGCUCCUCUGACGUUAGCGGCGGACGGGUGAGUAACACGUGGAUAACCUACCUAUAAGACUGGGAUAACUUCGGGAAACCGGAGCUAAUACCGGAUAAUAUAUUGAACCGCAUGGUUCAAUAGUGAAAGACGGUUUUGCUGUCACUUAUAGAUGGAUCCGCGCCGCAUUAGCUAGUUGGUAAGGUAACGGCUUACCAAGGCGACGAUGCGUAGCCGACCUGAGAGGGUGACCGGCCACACUGGAGCGGAGACACGGUCCAGACUCCUACGGGAGGCAGCAGUAGGGAAUCUUCCGCAAUGGGCGAAAGCCUGACGGAGCAACGCCGCGUGAGUGAUGAAGGUCUUCGGAUCGUAAAACUCUGUUAUUAGGGAAGAACAAAUGUGUAAGUAACUAUGCACGUCUUGACGGUACCUAAUCAGAAAGCCACGGCUAACUACGUG
rnacentral:rRNA from 1 species